UGCCUGUUGUGGCGCCAGCUGCAUCGCAGGGUAGCUAUGUAUGGAUGAGAUAAGUGCUGAAAGCAUCUAAGCACGAAACUUAGCCCAAGAUGAGACUUCCUUUAAGGGUCGUUCUAGACCAGAACGUUGAUAGGCUGCAGGUGUAAAGUCAGAAAUGGCAAAGCUGAGCAGUACUAAUUACCCGUAUGCUUCCUUCAC
rnacentral:rRNA from 1 species